rnacentral:rRNA from 1 species
UACGUAGGUCCCGAGCGUCGUCCGGAUUUAUUGGGCGUAAAGCGAGCGCAGGUGGUUUAAUAAGUCUGAUGUAAAAGGCAGUGGCUCAACCAUUGUGUGCAUUGGAAACUGGUAGACUUGAGUGCAGGAGAGGAGAGUGGAAUUCCAUGUGUAGCGGUGAAAUGCGUAGAUAUAUGGAGGAACACCGGUGGCGAAAGCGGCUCUCUGGCCUGUAACUGACACUGAGGCUCGAAAGCGUGGGGAGCAAACAGG